AUUGAACGCUGGCGGCAGGCCUAACACAUGCAAGUCGAACGAGUGGCGGACGGGUGAGUAAUGUCUGGGAAACUGCCAGAUGGUGGGGGAUAACUACUGGAAACGGUAGCUCAUACCGCAUACCAUCGGAUGUGCCCAGAUGGGAUUAGCUAGUAGGUGGGGUAACGGCUCACCUAGGCGACGAUUCCUAGCUGGUCUGAGAGGAUGACCAGCCACACUGGACCUAGGACACGGUCCAGACUCCUACUGGGGACAGCUGUGGGGAAGAUUGCACAAUGGGGGAAAGCCUGCUGCAGCCAUGCCGCGUGUAUGAAGAGGGCCUUCGGGUUGUAAAGUACUUUCAGCGAGGAGGCGUUACUCGCAGAAGAAGCACCGGCUAACUCCGUGCCAGCAGCCGCGGUAAUUC
rnacentral:rRNA from 1 species